UGGGGAAUAUUGGACAAUGGGCGAAAGCCUGAUCCAGCCAUGCCGCGUGUGUGAAGAAGGCCUUUUGGUUGUAAAGCACUUUAAGUGGGGAGGAGAAGCUUAUGGUUAAUACCCAUAAGCCCUGACGUUACCCACAGAAUAAGCACCGGCUAACUCUGUGCCAGCAGCCGCGGUAAUACAGAGGGUGCAAGCGUUAAUCGGAAUUACUGGGCGUAAAGCGCGCGUAGGUGGUUAUUUAAGUCAGAUGUGAAAGCCCCGGGCUUAACCUGGGAACUGCAUCUGAUACUGGAUAACUAGAGUAGGUGAGAGGGGAGUAGAAUUCCAGGUGUAGCGGUGAAAUGCGUAGAGAUCUGGAGGAAUACCGAUGGCGAAGGCAGCUCCCUGGCAUCAUACUGACACUGAGGUGCGAAAGCGUGGGUAGCAAACAGGAUUAGAUACCCUGGUAGUCCACGCCGUAAACGAUGUCUACCAGUCGUUGGGUCUUUUAAAGACUUAGUGACGCAGUUAACGCAAUAAGUAGACCGCCUGGGGAGUACGGCCGCAAGGUUA
rnacentral:rRNA from 1 species